GAUGAAGAACGUAGCGAAAUGCGAUAAGUAAUGUGAAUUGCAGAAUUCAGUGAAUCAUCGAAUCUUUGAACGCACAUUGCGCCCCCUGGUAUUCCGGGGGGCAUGCCUGUUCGAGCGUCAUUUCACCACUCAAGCCUCGCUUGGUAUUGGGCAACGCGGUCCGCCGCGUGCCUCAAAUCGACCGGCUGGGUCUUCUGUCCCCUAAGCGUUGUGGAAACUAUUCGCUGAAGGGUGCUCGGGUGGCUACGCCGUAAAACAAACCCAUUUCUAAGGUUGACCUCGGAUCAGGUAGGGAUACCCGCUGAACUUAAGCAUAUCAAUAAGCGGAGGA
rnacentral:misc_RNA from 1 species